UACAGAGGUCCCAAGCGUUGUUCGGAUUCAUUGGGCGUAUAGGGUGCGUAGGCGGUGCCGCAAGUCAGGUGUGAAAUCUCGGGGCUUAACCCCGAAACUGCAUUUGAUACUGCGGUGCUCGAGGACUGGAGAGGAGACUGGAAUUCACGGUGUAGCAGUGAAAUGCGUAGAUAUCGUGAGGAAGGCCAGUGGCGAAGGCGAGUCUCUGGACAGUUCCUGACGCUGAGGCACGAAGGCCAGGGGAGCAAACGGG
rnacentral:rRNA from 1 species